AGCCCUGCACUCUGAUUGGCUGGUGAAACAGUCUGUCUGCAGCCAAUCAGAAGUCGUGGGUUUGA
ensembl:miRNA